rnacentral:lncRNA from 1 species
AAAAUGCAAAAAGAGGAAAACAAUGGUGGACAUAUGAAAACAACAAGUAUACAUGUAAAUUAAUAAGAAGUUGCUAUUUGAGUUGAAAAAAAAAAAAGAAGAAAGAAGAAUUUAAGUUUGUGGGCAUUACAAUUCUUGAAAGCUCUCUCAUAAAAGUUUAGAUCCCAAGUAAUGUAUGUUUGGGGUUUUAUGAGCUUAAAUUUUUCUUUAUCAUACCUUGACCCUAGCCUAG